GGCGGGACACGUGGUAUCCUGUCUGAAUAUGGGGGGACCAUCCUCCAAGGCUAAAUACUCCUGACUGACCGAUAGUGAACCAGUACCGUGAGGGAAAGGCGAAAAGAACCCCGGCGAGGGGAGUGAAAAAGAACCUGAAACCGUGUACGUACAAGCAGUGGGAGCCUCUUUAUGGGGUGACUGCGUACCUUUUGUAUAAUGGGUCAGCGACUUAUAUUCUGUAGCAAGGUUAACCGUAUAGGGGAGCCGAAGGGAAACCGAGUCUUAACUGGGCGUUAAGUUGCAGGGUAUAGACCCGAAACCCGGUGAUCUAGCCAUGGGCAGGUUGAAGGUUGGGUAACACUAACUGGAGGACCGAACCGACUAAUGUUGAAAAAUUAGCGGAUGACCUGUGGCUGGGGGUGAAAGGCCAAUCAAACCGGGAGAUAGCUGGUUCUCCCCGAAAGCUAUUUAGGUAGCGCCUCGUGAACUCAUCUUCGGGGGUAGAGCACUGUUUCGGCUAGGGGGCCAUCCCGGCUUACCAACCCGAUGCAAACUACGAAUACCGAAGAAUGUUAUCACGGGAGACACACGGCGGGUGCUAACGUCCGUCGUGAAGAGGGAAACAACCCAGACCGCCAGCUAAGGUCCCAAAGUCAUGGUUAAGUGGGAAACGAUGUGGGAAGGCACAGACAGCCAGGAUGUUGGCUUAGAAGCAGCCAUCAUUUAAAGAAAGCGUAAUAGCUCACUGGUCGAGUCGGCCUGCGCGGAAGAUGUAACGGGGCUAAACCAUGCACCGAAGCUGCGGCAGCGACACUAUGUGUUGUUGGGUAGGGGAGCGUUCUGUAAGCCGUUGAAGGUGUGCUGUGAGGCAUGCUGGAGGUAUCAGAAGUGCGAAUGCUGACAUAAGUAACGAUAAAGCGGGUGAAAAGCCCGCUCGCCGGAAGACCAAGGGUUCCUGUCCAACGUUAAUCGGGGCAGGGUGAGUCGACCCCUAAGGCGAGGCCGAAAGGCGUAGUCGAUGGGAAACAGGUUAAUAUUCCUGUACUUGGUGUUACUGCGAAGGGGGGACGGAGAAGGCUAUGUCAGCCGGGCGACGGUUGUCCCGGUUUAAGCAUGUAGGCGGAGGUUCCAGGUAAAUCCGGUACCUUAUUAACGCUGAGGUGUGAUGACGAGGCACUACGGUGCUGAAGUGAUAAAUGCCCUGCUUCCAGGAAAAGCCUCUAAGCAUCAGGUAACACGAAAUCGUACCCCAAACCGACACAGGUGGUCAGGUAGAGAAUACCAAGGCGCUUGAGAGAACUCGGGUGAAGGAACUAGGCAAAAUGGUGCCGUAAC
rnacentral:rRNA from 2 species